CCAUAAUUCAAAAUAUCAUCUUCAAAACAUCACCAUAAUAAAUCAGAAAGCAUGAUUAUCAUCAUCAUCAUAAAUCAACAACAUCUUUGAUUUGUUGUUGCCCUCAUCAUCAUUAUCGCCAUUAUGAUCAUCAUCAUCAUUAUCAAGAUCAUCAUCGUCGCGAUCAUCAUUGUUAGCAGAUAAGCACCCGCAUCAUUUCAACUAACCUAACGUAUUAUGCAUAGAUUUUUUCUGUCAAGCAAAAUAUUAAACACCUGCAAGACAAAAUAUUAUCAAACUCUUUUUUUUUGAACAAAAUUUUAGAAUCCCUCUACAUAUGUUGAACAAAAAAAUCUUCAUAAAUAUUCUUCAUCACAAUUUUCCCAUCAUCAAAAUCAUUUUUUUCAUCCAAAAAUUUCUAAAACAAAUUUCUUUCUUCACACAUAAACUAAACAAACAUCAAAUAAAUCAAAACAACUCUUUCUUAAAACUCUUUUUCUAGGUAACUCUCUCUAAAAUCACCUCUCUGCCCCAGCUUUGAUACCAUGUGGGAUUUCGACAAUAACACAAAAAGGAGUGACAGAGAGAUUGAAACACUCAAAAAUAUAAAAACUACAUUAAUAAUUUUUCUGCAUAUUUUACAAAAGAAAACUAACCCUUAUACAGGGAGUAACCCAAAACCAUAGAAUACUCUCAUUAUCCCACUGCUAACGAAAUCCUAAUUUAUAGGAGUUAAGUUGCACAUUUAAAAGUAUGUUUAGUAUUUUUCUAAAGACUAUGACACUUAACAAGCAAUUAUUCAAUUUUCAAAAUAUUCAAAAAACAAAUAAAAUUAUCCUAAAUCUAAUAUUUGAAUUAUAAUUCCAACACCUUCUCGUAAUUCAAAUAUUCUUCUUAAAAUUUUAUUAUCUAUCAUAACAUAACAUAACAUGACAUUUUAUUUGUGUGUGUUCAAUAACAUUCAAAUAUUCAAAUAUUUUAUUAGAUUUAGCAUAACAUAACAUUUUUCUUCAUCACAAUAAUCUUUAUUUUAUUUUUUUGGUUUUCUCUCAAAAUCAAUCUUUGCACUCACAAUAAACAAAAAUGAUAACACUUUUUUCAUCCAAAAAUUUCUAUAAAUUUUUUUUUCACACAUAAACUAAACAAACAUCAAAUAAAAACAAUUCUUUUUUUAAAACUCUUUUUAUAGGUAACUCUCUCUCAAAUCACCUCUCUGCCCCAGCUCUGAUACCAUGUGGGAUUUCCACAAUAACACAGAGAGGAGUGAGAGAGAGAUUGAAACACUCAAAAAUAUAAAAACUACAUUACUAAUUUUUUUUCUUCAUAUUUUACAAAAGAAACUAGCCUUGCCGUAACCCAAAACCCUAGAAUACUAUCACUAUCACACUGCUAACAAAAUCCUUAUUUAUAGGAAUUAAGUUGCACAUUUAAAAGUAUGUUUAGUAUUUUUCUAAAGACUAGGACACUUAACGAACAAUUAUUGAAUUUUCAAAAUAUUCAAAAAACAAACAAAAUUAUCAUAAAUCUAAUAUUUGAAUUAUAAUUCCAACACUUACGCCACACAGUUUUACAACAUUUCGGAAAAUGUUGAAGGACUUCGGAUUAUUGGUUUCGUAUGGUUUGGGGGAAUACCGGUUGUUUUUCAGCAACAACCUCAAGCGAUCAUUCAUGCUCAACCUUUUUCACCUCCUCUACCUGUAUUAACUCCUCCACCUGUUGUUUUACAUGAGAUCAGAGUCAUGGUUAUCGGCGCUAGAUCAACCGGGAAAUAUACUUUUCUUGGUUGUUUUCAAAAUGGUAUGUUUGGUCAAAAUCUCGUUGAUUUUGUCAAUUUCUCAUCACGUGAGAAGAUAUAUUAAUGAGGAUAUUACAAAUUUACCCAUCAUCUAAGAGAAAGAGUUUUAUCUUGAUUUGUGAUUGUCCAUUAGCUAAAUAAUUGGAGGGCUGAAAAGUUAGUUUAAUAAGAUUUGUGAUCGUCUAUGAGCUAAAUGAUUCGACGGGUGAAGAUAAGUUCUAGAGGAUUUCUACACGUGGCUUUACUAAAAUGAAUCGACGGUUAAAAAAAGUUGCAUAUAGUGUUAAUGGUGACAUAGUUUGACGGUGUUUUGUUUUCUUGUGAUCUUUAUGGGUAUGUUAAUGGUGACAUAGCUGAACCACCACAGAAAGUUGUGGUAGAUGGUGUUUAAGUAGUUAAUCCAGAAUGGGUUUCUUGGAGGAGAUUAGAUAGGUUUGUUUCAACCUGCCUAAAAGCAACUUUUAAACCAACUGUUAGUAGUGAUGUUCUUGGUUUGUCUACAGCUAAAGAAAUUUGGGAUUUUCUUGAAUUGAGUUUUAGAACACAAUUUAUUUCUAGGAAGAGUAUGUCAAGGACACCAUUGAAUGGGAUUAAGAAAGGCAAUAUGUCUAUUGUUCAAUAUCUUCAGAAAAUUAAGUCAAUUGCAGAUUAUUUAGCAGCAAUUGGUGAAAAAGUAAGUGAUGAAGAUUUAAUGAUAUUUACGUUGAAUGAGUUAAGCAGUGAUUACGAUAUUUUUGUUAUUUCAUCACAAAGUAGGGAGAAGCCUUAUUCUUUUGGUGAAGUUAAGGCUAAAUUGCUUUUUCAUGAACAGUUUUUUGCUGAAAGGAAACAACAUAAUACAAAUGUAUAUAAUGAGCAGAAUCCAGUAGACUUUUAUGCUAGAAAUGGUACAAUACUUAUAAUCAUAAUAAUAAUAAUAAUAGAAGAAAUAGGGGCAAUGGUAAAAAUGGAAAUGGUGGUGUUUAUAAGAAUAAUCAGUAUCAACAUGGGUCUAGUUCAAAUCAGCAAAAUGGGUCAACUUCAGCUGGAGGUGGUGAUAGGAGAUCUUAUAUGGAUUAUUCAAAGGUUUUUUGUCAGAUAUGUAAGAAGAAUGGUCAUGUUGCUACUAGGUAUUUCCUUAGAUAUCAUCCACCAACAACUUGGUCUUCUAAUGGUAAUACUCAAGCUAAUUUUGCUAAUGCUGAUGUUCAAGCACAUUAUCCCAAUGCAGCAACACUUUCUUCUGGUACUUCUCAACAAGCUUUUACUAGUUUAAAUAUGAAUAAUUCAGCAAUGAAUGAUGAUCCUUCUUCCAGUACUGUGUGGAUAUCUGACAAUGAAGCCUCACCAUAUAUGUCUGGUGAUAGUUCUAUCCUUCAAAAUACUUCAAACUACAAAGGAAAGGAGAAUGUUAUCAUUGGUAAUGGUAAACCUCUGUCUAUUUCUCUUACUGGUAAUCAACUAUUCAAACACCAACAUCUAGUUUUACUUUAA